CCUCCCUAGCUCCUCGUCCCCUUCACCAAUCCAUCCCUCCUCAUCCCAAAUCCAGCGGAUCCGAGGUGUGCGGACGCAGAGGAGAAUUUCUCCGGCGGCGAUGGCAACCUGCAAGCAAAGGGCGGUGGCGGCGGCGCUCGAUUUGAUCUGCAGGAGAGAGAGAGAUGGAGAGGAGGGACGCCGCCAUGGGAGAGCAGGGCCAACAUGGUCUUCGUGGUGGGCAUGGAGGCGCAGAGGAGGAUGGCGGUGGGGGGUGGGAGCAGAGUAGCAGGACUUCCUGGCGGCGCUCGCGUCAUGGUGGAGUGGAGGACUCGUUGUCCAUCAUCACCAUCCCCAAUCUAGAUCUGAGCUAGAAAAGAAGAGAAAUAAUCUUGUGGAAUUUCAGAUCUGAGAUAGGAACGGGGAGAAAGGAUCUUGUGGAAGAGCUUGACGAAAAAGGAAGGGGUGAAUAAUCUCUUUCUCACGUUCAUGUUUGUUUCUGCAUUUUAAUUUUUAAGAUGCAGGUUGGCCAAUUGUAACAAUAGAAAUAUAUGCGCAUUUUUGGUUUGUGUACUUCAAUAAAAAAAUAUUUUCACUUUA